rnacentral:rRNA from 1 species
CGAGCACGCGCGUGUGGCAUAUCAAUAAGCGGAGGAAAAGAAACUAACAAGGAUUCCCUUAGUAACGGCGAGUGAAGCGGGAAGAGCUCAAAUUUGAAAUCUUCAAGGUUCUACCUUGACGAAUUGUAGUUUAUAGAAGUGUUUUCUGUUAGUAGAGUGGCAAAAGUUCUUUGGAAUAGGACAUCAUAGAGGGUGAGAAUCCCGUAUUUGGUCAUUCUUUCUAGCUUUGUGAUACACUUUCAACGAGUCGGAUUGUUUGGGAAUGCAGUCCAAAAUGGGUGGUAAAUUUCAUCUAAAGCUAAAUAUUGGCGAGAGACCGAUAGCGAACAAGUACCGUGAGGGAAAGAUGAAAAGAACUUUGAAAAGAGAGUUAAACAGUACGUGAAAUUGUCAAAAGGGAAGCGUUUGACACCAGUGUUGUUUUUCCGAAAAUCAAUUACGAAUGUUUUGUUUUUGAGGAGUUAUGACUUCAUCGGCUUGCUCCUUUCUUUACGAAACUUUCUUAAUGCACUUUUCGGUUAACAAGUCAACAUCAAUUUCUUUUGUUGUAAAAGGGUAUGAGGAAGGUGGCUUUCCUUUUCGGAGAAAGUGUUUAUAGCCUUGUGCCUCUGCAAUCGGAGGGAUUGAGGUCUGCAGCGUAGAUCCUUCGGGGUUAGAUACGUUUGUGCUAAGUUAUAGCUUUUCAUAGACAACUUGUUGACUAUGUUUAGUCUUGUAGCUUACUCGCUGACGCUAUUUUACCUACGCUUAGGAUGUUGAUGUGAUACUGCGAGCA